rnacentral:rRNA from 1 species
AGAGUUUGAUCAUGGCUCAGAUUGAACGCUGGCGGCAGGCCUAACACACGCAAGUCGAGCGGUAGCACAGAGAGCUUGCUCUCGGGUGACGAGCGGCGGACGGGUGAGUAAUGUCUGGGAAACUGCCUGAUGGAGGGGGAUAACUACUGGAAACGGUGGCUAAUACCGCAUAACGUCGCAAGACCAAAGAGGGGGACCUUCGGGCCUCUUGCCAUCAGAUGUGCCCAGAUGGGAUUAGCUAGUAGGUGGGGUAAUGGCUCACCUAGGCGACGAUCCCUAGCUGGUCUGAGAGGAUGACCAGCCACACUGGAACUGAGACACGGUCCAGACUCCUACGGGAGGCAGCAGUGGGGAAUAUUGCACAAUGGGCGCAAGCCUGAUGCAGCCAUGCCGCGUGUAUGAAGAAGGCCUUCGGGUUGUAAAGUACUUUCAGCGAGGAGGAAGGCAUUGUGGUUAAUAACCACAGUGAUUGACGUUACUCGCAGAAGAAGCACCGGCUAACUCCGUGCCAGCAGCCGCGGUAAUACGGAGGGUGCAAGCGUUAAUCGGAAUUACUGGGCGUAAAGCGCACGCAGGCGGUCUGUCAAGUCGGAUGUGAAAUCCCCGGGCUCAACCUGGGAACUGCAUUCGAAACUGGCAGGCUAGAGUCUUGUAGAGGGGGGUAGAAUUCCAGGUGUAGCGGUGAAAUGCGUAGAGAUCUGGAGGAAUACCGGUGGCGAAGGCGGCCCCC